rnacentral:rRNA from 1 species
CCUACGGGAGGCAGCAGUGAGGAAUAUUGGUCAAUGGGCGCGAGCCUGAACCAGCCAAGUAGCGUGAAGGAUGACUGCCCUACGGGUUGUAAACUUCUUUUAUAAAGGAAUAAAGUGAGGCACGUGUGCCUUUUUGUAUGUACUUUAUGAAUAAGGAUCGGCUAACUCCGUGCCAGCAGCCGCGGUAAUACGGAGGAUCCGAGCGUUAUCCGGAUUUAUUGGGUUUAAAGGGUGCGCAGGCGGAAGCGGCAAGUCAGCGGUAAAAUUGCGGGGUUCAACCUCGCCGAGCCGUUGAAACUGCUCGUCUAGAGUAGGCGAGAAGUAUGCGGAAGGCGUGGUGUAGCGGUGAAAUGCAUAGAUAUCACGCAGAACUCCGAUUGCGAAGGCAGCAUACCGGCGCCCAACUGACGCUCAUGCACGAAAGCGUGGGUAUCGAACAGGAUUAGAUACCCUGGUAGUC